UACGUAGGGGGCGAGCGUUGUCCGGAUUUAUUGGGCGUAAAGAGCUCGUAGGCGGUUGGGUAAGUCGGGUGUGAAAACUCAGGGCUCAACUCUGAGACGCCACUCGAUACUGCCCUGACUCGAGUCCGGUAGGGGAGCGUGGAAUUCCCAGUGUAGAGGUGAAAUUCGUAGAUAUUGGGAGGAACACCGGUGGCGAAGGCGGCCACCUGGACGGUAACUGACGCUAAGACGCGAAAGCGUGGGGAGCAAACAGG
rnacentral:rRNA from 1 species